rnacentral:rRNA from 1 species
AUCUUCCGCAAUGGACGAAAGUCUGACGGAGCAACGCCGCGUGAGUGAUGAAGGUUUNNNGAUCGNAAAACUAUGUUGUUAGGNAAANAUAAGUAUCGGAGUAACUGCCGGAACCUUGACGGUACCUAACCAGAAAUCUACGGCUAACUACGUGCCAGCAGCCGCGGUAAUACGUAGGUGGCAAGCGUUGUCCGGAAUUAUUGGGCGUAAAGCGCGCGCAGGCGGUCUUUUAAGUCUGAUGUGAAAGCCCCCGGCUCAACCGGGGAGGGUCAUUGGAAACUGGGAGACUUGAGUGCAGAAGAGAAGAGUGGAAUUCCACGUGUAGCGGUGAAAUGCGUAGAGAUGUGGAGGAACACCAGUGGCGAAGGCGACUCUUUGGUCUGUAACUGACGCUGAGGCGCGAAAGCGUGGGGAGCAAACAG